rnacentral:rRNA from 1 species
AGCCCAGACUCCUACGGGAGGCAGCAGUGAGGAAUAUUGGUCAAUGGGCUUACGCCUGAACCAGCCAAGUCGCGUGAGGGAAGACUGCCCUAUGGGUUUUAAACCUCUUUUGUCAGGGAGCAAUUGGCGCUACGCGUAGCGUUAUCGAGAGUACCUGAAGAAAAAGCAUCGGCUAACUCCGUGCCAGCAGCCGCGGUAAUACGGAGGAUGCGAGCGUUAUCCGGAUUUAUUGGGUUUAAAGGGUGCGAAGGCGGAAUGCCAGUUCAGGGGGAAAGUGGGGGGGCUAAACUUCGCUCCGCCGUUGAAACUGGCGUUCUUGAGUGGGCGAGAAGUAUGCGGAAUGCGUGGUGUAGCGGUGAA